AAACUCGAGAGGGCACAGCAUCCAGCACCUGUGCUGGGAUCCCUGGGGCAGAGAGGAGAAACCAGAGAGAGUCUACGUGGUCUCCUCAGGUGGCAGGGCAGACACUGGCAGGCGGAUCAGGAACUCUCAUUCAUUGCUGUUGGGAAUGCAAAAUGGAGCAGCCACUUUGGAAGACAGUUUGGCAGUUUCUGACACAAGCUAAACAUACUCUUGCUAUACGAUCCAGCAAUCAUGCUCCCAGCCCCACAGGACCUCCAGCCUUUGUCUUCUUAAGGAGGGGAAGAGCAUCUUCAGCCAGCAGACAGGAAGGUGGGAUGCACUCGCCAUGUAUCUCCUGAGCCCCUGCUGGACACCGGACAGGCUGGUGGACUGCCCGCGACCUCUUUCAUCAGCACCCCCAAGAAUGGAAAGUGGAAGAAUGUCCUCAAGCUAGCAAGGACCUGGGCAAAGGGAAUCCAGAAUUACCUGUUCUGGCUUCUCCAGACCAAGAUUAAGGUCCUGCCUGCAUCUAUCUGCCCAUCACCCUCCUGCAGCUUCCAGCCU
rnacentral:lncRNA from 1 species